ensembl:lncRNA
CUUCUUGGUGAAGCACCCACAGCUUCUCUGUAGAACCUCACCUCCAACCUGACGUGUGAAUCCCACUUAAGUCUCUCAGGUGCUGGAUCACCUAUCUUUUUAGAGCCACACUUCCUUCACCUGGAAAAUGGGCUAAUAAAGUGGGUAAAGUGCUUAGCACAAUGCACAGGGAACAGCAAUCUUCUAGCAGCCUGGAGGUCUUCCCUCAACAUCCAUAUCCUCAGUUCUUCCCUCUCCACUGUCUGGACAAGCCUUGGCGUUAGGACAUGGGCUGCUGCUCUCCCCUUGGCAGUGCUUCAAUAGUUGUGGCGGGGAGGGCAACCACGUAAGAAGCGUGGGUUGUCCUAGAAUGUUGUCUCUAUACCAAAGGAGUUCCAAGAUCCAAAAGCCUAGGAACUGCUGCUGAAGAUCAGUGUCCCAGCAGGAUGUCUUGGGGGGACAUGGAAAAGUGGCCAAGAGAAAGAGAAAGAGCCAAGAGAAAUUACCAGGAGAGGCAGGCUUUAAGGGGCUGUGGUGCUGGGCUGGCAAAAUAGCACCUCCACCCUUGGCAGCUCCUAGGGAAAAGAGGGUUAGAAUGUUUCUUCCUUUAUUUAUUUAUGUGGGUUGGAUUGUGUUCCCCCAGGAGAUAUGCCCUCCUGCAGCACACCGGACCUGUGGUUGUGACCCUAUUUGGAAAUAGGAUCUUUGCAAUUGUAAUUAGGAUAAGGAUCUUAAGGAUAAGGACAAGAUCAUCCAGGAUUAAAGUUGGGCCCUAAUCCAAUGACUGGUGUCCUAAUAGGAGAGAAGAGAGGGCAAUUUGAGAUGCGGAGAGACACAGAGAAAAAGGCAACGUGAACAUGGGGACAGAGAGUUAUGCAGCUACAAGCCAAGGAAUGCCAAGGGUCAUUGGCAACAGCAGGCUCUGAAAGAGCCAGGAAAGGAACUUUCCUUUUAGUCUCUAGUAGGAACCAACCCUGCAGAUAAUUUGAAUCUGGAUUUCUGGCCUCUGUCUUUUUAGGGCCACACCCACAGCAUAUGGAGGUUCCCAGGCUGGGGGUCAAAUCAGAGCUGUAGCCACUGGCCUACACCACAGCCCCAGCAAUGCCAGAUCUGAGCCGGGUCUUCGACCUAUACCACAGCUCAUGGCAACACCAGAUCCUUAACCCACUGAGCGAGGCCAGGGAUCAAACUCAUGUCUUCAUGGAUGCUAGUCUGGUUCAUUAACUGCUGAGCCACAACGGGAACUCCUAAAUUACCCAGUUUAGUUUUUAUUUGACUGCUCAGGGUGGAGCGGUAACCAGGACUCUGGCUCCUCAAGGGCUGGGAGCACAUCUGUCAGCUCUUGGGUGGGGGGCCCAGUCAGAGGCAGGAGCAGAAGGAACAAAGUCAAGGAGAAAGAACACAGACCCCAUUCUUGAUGAAAAGAGGAUCAUAAUCACAAUGUACAAAAGGUCUGUAGGAUGGGAGAUAUUGUUGCAGCAAUUUGGGGGGAAUAUAAUCUGCCAGAGAUUUAUGACCAUAUCGCCUAAGGCUGCCAUCAAAUUGUCCUUUCUAGAGAACUGAACAUCCUUUUUUUGCUUAAACUAGUUUGGCGUGGCUUUUUGUCACUUCUUGGCUACCACAGUGUAAUGCACAUCUCACAGGGCUGUUCUAAGGAUUAGAUGACAGAAUGCUUGCAAAAGUUACACCACAAUGAAAACUAUAGGAGCUUCCUCCCUCCUUUUCCCUCCCUUCCACUGACAUUUCAUUGCCCCAGGGAUGGUGGGAACUGGCAACUAAUGCUGUCUUUGUUGCAACACAGGAGUAGCAGCAACUUUAUCACCAUGUACAGAUCAUACCCCUUGCUUACAAUUACAGUUUCAGUCUAGGGAAUUUUGUAAUGCAUUUGCCCAGCCCAAUGCAGACAGAGCUCUGCUCUUAAGCAGUAAUCUUUUUUCCUUCUACUCACUAACAAAUAUUUCCAUCAAGACACUCCCAAACUGCACUGACUUCACAUGAAGCAAAAGCUUUUGCAAACUCAUAUUUUAAGAGUUUUAAACAACCUUUACAGAUGCAGUUUCUUUACAAUAUACCCCAUCUUCUUUCUUAUCCCAGUUCCAGACUGUGCUGCAUUUUAAAAAACAUUUUUCUGGGAGUUCCUAUUGUGGCUUGGCACAUAGUGUCCGUGAGGAUGCUGGUUCAGUCCCUGGCCUGGCCUGGCCCAGUGGGUUAAGGAUCCAGCGUUGCCACAGUUCGAAGGUGUGGCUUAGCUCUCAUGUUGCUGUAGCUGUGGCAUAGGCCAGCUGCUGUAGUUCCAAUUAGACCCCUAGCCUAGGACCUUCCAUAUGCUGGGGGUUUGCCGCUAAAAAAAAAAAUUUUUUUCUGAUUUGACAAACAAUGUGCAGAGUUCCCAUCUUGCUCAGUGGAAAUGAAUCCGACUAGGAACCAUGAGGUUGCAGGUUCAAUCCCUGGCCUCACUCAGCGGGUUAAUGAUCUGGUGUUGCCGUGAGCUGUGGUGUAGGUUGCAGGCGCGGCUCGGAUCUGGCAUUGCUGUGGCUGUGGAAGUGACAUAGUCCAGCAACAACAGCUCCAAUUAGACCCCUAGCCUGGGAGCCUCCAUAUGCCAUGGAUGCGGCCCUAAAAAGACAAAAGACAAAAAAAAAA